rnacentral:rRNA from 1 species
CAGCCGCCGCGGGAAUACGUAGGGUGCAAGCGUUAAUCGGAAUUACUGGGCGUAAAGCGCACGUAGGCGGCUAUUCAAGUCAGGGGUGAAGGCCCGGGGCUCAACCCCGGAAGUGCCUUUGAAACUAGAUAGCUUGAAUCUUGGAGAGGCGAGUGGAAUUCCGAGUGUAGAGGUGAAAUUCGUAGAUAUUCGGAAGAACACCAGUGGCGAAGGCGGCUUACUGGCUCAUUCUAGACGCUGAGGUGCGAAAGCGUGGGGAGCAAACAGGAUUAGAUACCCGCGUAGUCCCUGUCUCUUAUAC